GCUUCUGUGGCGCAAUUGGUUAGCGCGUUCGACUGUUAGUCUCUACCUUAGCUAAGCAAUCGAGAGGUUGGCAGUUCAAGCCUGCCCAGGAGCG